rnacentral:siRNA from 1 species
UGUAGUAUUUUAGGUUGUCAA